AGGCGCAGUCCCUUGAACUAGGCUGAGUUGUAGCAGUAGAACCACAUUUCCCACAAUGCUCUGCGACAACUACGCAUUGCAUUUCGCAGAUCUACAAGCCAUCCACACGAACGGUGACGCUACUGCUCGCACUCCAGAUGAUUUGUGAGUCUGCGCGAAAGCGUCUGAACGCUGUGUUUACGUUUGGCUCUUAAAGGGGACGCAACACAAUUCUCCAAAAUGGCCGCUGUGCGGCUCCAAUCUGAAAGGUAGACUUCCUACAGCUUUAAGAAUAAACACGAUGUUUUUAAUUUCUGUAAUAUUGUAUCGGUUAAUUUAAGAAAAGUUUUAGUGUAUCGUGGCUGAACCUGUGUGUGUAGUUUUAGACGAACUAGGCGCAUUAGCAGAAAAGCCCCACUCUUUGGACGAAGGCCUCCCUCCUGCCGUCACCAGUCUGUCUUUUAUUCCUGUUUUCCAGCAAGCAUUCUAGCGUUUUUGCGGCGUUAAAGACGGAAUAAAGUGAUUCACCUGCGAUGGAAUGACGACGGAAUAUAUUAGAAUUGAAAUAAAAGACAAAAAAAAAAAAAAAGCUGGUGAACCACAAGGCCGCAAAUCAGACCUCGGACCCCGGUGCACCUGUCACGCCGAGAAAGAGGCAGGAGGAGCGGGGAGUCAUUCCCUUCACGAGCACGGAGCUACUGGAGAGCUCCAAGGUGAAGAAGAUGGAGGAGAUAAAGACUGAAAGUUCGAAUAAUGUUGAGGAAGUGAAGCUGCAAGAAGAAGUGGCGGAAGAUCCUAAAGGUCCAAAGAAGAAAGGGCGCCGGAAAAAAGAUGUUAAAACCCCAAGGCGGCCGACUAAAAGGAAGAAGCCCCCAGUGGAGUACGUUCGCUGCGAAAUCGAAGGAUGCGGCACCGUUCUGGCGAACCGUCGCUACCUAAAGCAUCACAUCAAAUACCAGCACUUGCUUAAAAAGAAGUACGUGUGCCCUCAUCCCUAUUGUGGAACGCUUUUCCGCCUACAAAGGCAGCUAUUUCGCCAUGCCAAGCAACACACAGACCAGAGAGACUACGUCUGCGAGUUCUGUACUCGUGCCUUCAAGAACGCCUACAAUCUGGCUGUGCAUCGCAUGAUCCACACAGGAGAGAAGCCCAUCCAGUGUGACGUCUGUGGCUUCACCUGUCGCCAGAAGGCCUCCCUCAACUGGCACAUGAAGAAGCACGACGGCGACGCCUCCUAUCAGUUCCCCUGCUCCAUUUGCGGCAAGAAGUUUGAGAAGAAGGACUCUGUGGCGGCCCACAAGGCCAAGAGUCACCCGGUGAUGCUGAUAUCCGAAGCGCUCGCAGACAACGCCGGCACCCUCAUCACAAACCCCGCGCCCUCGCCGGAGCUGCCGGGAGAAGCGGUGCAAGUGGAGGUGGCCGGCGUGGAAGCCAACCAAGUGGUUGAGGAUGAAGUCGUGCAGCAGGUGGUGAUCAAGGAAGAAUAUGUGGAAGAGUAAGUGGCUCAGGUAUCCCAGAUGAGUCAUGUGUCCCCAACAAGGUCAGCAGGCAGCUCUGAUGGACCCUCCGUGCCAGGCGGGUACCUGUGGACGAGCAGCAGCAGUCUCACCCUCAGCUCCAGACCACCCUCCGGUCCAUUUAGCAGCCCCCACAACUUACCUUCCAUUGCCCCUCAGUGGUGACCCGACACACCUUGAAGAUUCCUUGUGGAAGGAAGUAUGUUGGAAGGAACACAUCUUACUUACAUUCUCAUCUGUUUUUGAUGUCAACUUACUGGACUGAAGACGCCGCAGUAAGUUCAUCCCCCGUCCUAAGUAUGGUGACCUUUACCCUUCUCUUCUCCAUCACUGAUACACUCAAAAGACAAUUUAUUGGAUCUAAUCUUUGUUAUCAGUUCUCUGCCAACUGUGGAGUAAGAGCUAGUUUGUUGCGGACCUGCCGCUACCUCAUUUGGUCGCUAUGUGAUGGACCAGACUCGUGCAUUGUCUACUUUUGAAGAAAACAUUUUAUACUU